ensembl:lncRNA
UUUACAUAUUUUAGAUAUUUUAGAUAACUUCCAUCCAUCCCGGAAGAAGGAAUCCUACUUAACCUCUUACGUCGACCCGACAUGCAUGCGUCCCAUCUAGCCAUCUGGAAAUGCAAAUGCGCUACGCUAAAUGCUAAUAGCACUCGUUAAAACUCAAACGUUCAUUAAAACACACAUGCAGGGUACUGAAUUAAAGCUACACUCGUUGUGAAUCCAGCUAACAAGUCAGAUUUUUAAAAUGCUUUUCGGCGAAAGCAUGAGAAGCUAUUAUCUGAUAGCAUGCAACACCCCGAAAUACCCGAAGGGGACGUAAACAAAAUAAUUAGCAUAGCCGGCGCUACACAAAACGCAGAAAUAAAAUAUAAAACAUUCAUUACCUUUGACGAUCUUCUUUGUUGGCACUCCUAGAUGUCCCAUAAACAUCACUAUUGGGUCUUUUUUUCGAUUAAAUUGGUCCAUAUAUACCCUAAAUAUCGAUCUAUGAAUAGUGUGUGAUCCAGGAAAAAACAGCGUUUUAAAACGCAACGUCAUUUUUUAAAAUUAAAAAAGUUGACGAUAAACUUUCACAAAACACUUCGAAAUACUUUUGUAAUACAACUUUAGGUAUUAGUAAACGUUAAUAAUCUAUCAAAUUGAUCACGGGGCAAUCUGUAUUCAAUAGCAGCAAGUCUUGAAAUCAUGGUCCAUAUUCUCCCUUUCAUAACUUCCUCCAGUGUACUCGACGACAGGAAGUGCCUAUUUCUCAUUUCACCAAGGAUAAACUUCAACCCAAUUGCCAAGACUGGCGACAUCGUGUGGAAGCUGUAGGAACUGUAAACUGGACGCUAUCUAUUUUCCCUUGCCAUAGACAAUACAGAGACUGGCGGAGGGAUAUUUUUUUGUGUUUUUUGUGAAGUUUUCCUUGGGAUUUUGCCUCCUCGUUCUGUUAUAGUCACAUACAUGAUUUAACCAGUUUUAGAAACUUCAGAGUGUUUUCUAUCCACACAUACUAAUCAUAUGCAUAUACAAUAUUCCUGGCAUGAGUAGCAGGACGUUGAAAUUUUGCACGAUUUUUAAUAACGAAUCCAGACUCGUCCGUUCACGGCUUUUCCCUUCGGAGAACAGAGGCAAGUUUGUGGAAUCCGCUCGUAGGACCAAUUGUUACUGUAAUUUAGUUAUUCCAAUGUGUUUUCAUUAAUUUAAUUCCCUUAAAACUUGUUUGGGACUUGGUCCCUGUGGCGGGAUCAAAUCAGCGGAAAUUUCAAGAGCGCCACCAAUAGUUUUUGAUAAAACUCAAACUUUCAUUAAAACGAGGUAAUGAAUUAAAGCUACACUAGUUGUGAAUCUAGCCACAAAGUCAGAUUUGUAAAAUGCUUUUCGGCGAAAGCAUGAGAAGCUAUUAUCUGAUAGCAUGCACCCCCCUAAAUAGCAUGCACGUCACCUAAACAACAGAUUUUGCGUUAGCCGGCGCUACCCAAAACGCAGAAAUAAAAUAUAAAACAUUCAUUACCUUUGACUAGCUUCUUUGUUGGCACUCCUAGAUGUCCCAUAAACAUCACUAUUGGGUCUUUUUUUCGAUUAAAUUGGUCCAUAUAUAGCCUAGAUAUCGAUCUAUGAAGACUGUGUGAUCAAGGAAAAAACUGUGUUUUAUAACGCAACGUCAUUUUUUUUAAAUAAAAAAAGUUGACGAUAAACUUUCACAAAACUCUUCGAAAUACUUUUGUAAUCCAACUUUAGGUAUUAGUAAACGUUAAUAAUCUAUCAAAUUUAUAACGGGCGAUGUAUAUUCAAUAGCUUCACGUCUUCAAAUCAUGUUCAGAAAUUUCUACUCCAAAACAUCCGGUCAGAGACCGGAAGAAAUGGGCUCUCACUUACUUGUUUGACCAAGAAACAAAGAUUAGGCAAUUGACAAGACUGGUGACAUCGUGUGGAAGCUGUAGGAAUUGCAAUCUCGGCUUCAUGUAAUUCGGUUUCCCAUCAACAAUACAUGCAACUGGCGCAUUGAUAUAUUUUCCAGUUUUCAGUGAUCAGAUUUUCCUGCGCUUUUCGAUGAAACGCACGUUCUGUUAUAGUCACAGCCGUGAUUUAACCAGUUUUAGAAACGUCAGAGUGUUUUCUAUCCACACAUACUAAUCAUAUGCAUAUACUAUAUUCCUGGCAUGAGUAGCAGGACGCUGAAAUGUUGCGCGAUUUUUAACAAAAAGCUGCGAAAAUGCGCAUGAUCCAUAACAGGUUUUAAACAGAAUGUUUAGAGCCUCAUUAUGAAUGGUUAAGGUUUGGGAUAGAGUUUAAACAUUAAGUUUAGGGCCUCAUUAUGAAUGGUUAAGGUUUGGGAUAGAGUUUAAACAUUAAGAUUAGGGCCUCAUUAUGAAUGGUUAAGGUUUGGGAUAGAGUUUAAACAUUAAGUUUAGGGCCUCAUUAUGAAUGGUUAAGGUUUGGGAUAGAGUUUAAACAUUAAGUUUAGGGCCUCAUUAUGAAUGGUUAAGGUUUGGGAUAGAGUUUAAACAGAAUGUUUAGGGCCUCAUUAUGAAUGGUUAAAGUUUGGGAUAGAGUUUAAAGAGUGUCUCUACCACUGGGAUCAACCUUCUGGUCCAGAGUCAUGGGGUUACCCCCAUCCACCACCCUCUGUCUCUACCACUGGGAUCAACCUUCUGGUCCAGAGUCAUGGGGUUACUCCCC